ACUCUUAACACCACAAGAGGUGAAUCAAACAAACUUGAAUUGAGAUCUUACAUAUAUUGCCUUCCUCUUUCCUCCUUCUUAAGGAUAGGGAGAGAAACCCCUCUCAAUGUAAAUAAAUUCCCCUUAGGGAGAGAAAGGGAAGUUUCCUAAAUAUCUUGUGUUUUGAAUAAAUAAACGACUCCAGGGAAAUACAAGAACCUAUGUGGUCAGCCUGUGGGACUGCCCAGCUCACCAUUUCUCCCAUUCCUGGCUGAUGUUGAGUGAAGUGAUCUUCUGCAAGGAAACAUUAUCUUAGAAUUCAGAGUAACUUUAAAACUUUAUAAUGCCAUUGUAUGUUUGAAAACCUAACUUGUCAAUGGCCUCGGAUAUAGAAAACUGCUUUCCCUAGC
rnacentral:lncRNA from 1 species